GGGGAAGGCACAUCCCGGCCGGCCUGAGCCCCGCUGCAGACGCGCCCCCGGGGCCGGGAGCUGGCCCGCCCCGACGGGGCGCUGCCCGCCAGCCUCUCGAAAGUUGGUUAGGUGAUGUGGAGCCACACAUCAUCAGUCCUUCACUAUCUGGAGCUAUCUAACUUCCUUGUGCAGCCUCCCACUCGCCUCUCCACUGUCUGCUCCAUCUGGAGGGAGCUGGCUGCUCUCCUCCAGCCCCGGCUCCCCGAGCGCAAGGCAGCCUGCAGCUGCCAGAACAUCUGCUGUCUCCUGGCCUCGCUGGGGUUUCUGCACAGGGCAGGACGCAGUCUGCAUAAUUAGUGCGGCUCUUCCAGGAUCAAAUCCUGGACCUGGAGCACAGUGUGAACAACCGGGAGAUGCAGAAGGUGUUCUGCAAUUGGCUUUAUCCAACCUGUGCCGGCACAGAGCUUUUUGGGCCUCUCAAGAGUGUGUCUGAACUGACAUGUUGGCUUGAAAUGCAAGCCAACACAUGGCUUCAUCCCCUGAAUGUCCCCCACUGCUUAUACUUUUGCUUGCUCAAACCUCGAGCUACUUUGGCUUAAGUCUGGAGCGAACAAAUGGGCUCCCUUUGGAAGAAACCGCAAGCACAGAGGAGGUUGACCCUUAUUCAGGCUCUCUCCUGUGGGGCUGGAGGAGCUCUUGACUGUAUGAACUCAAACUUCAACUUGAGGUGAGACGUUCCUGCAGGCAGAGCUGCUCCCCGGAGGCACCCAGCAGACACAAACACACUGGUCCUGCCCCUUCCCCUGGGGCCCUCACAGCCCCUUUGUACAGAGGAAAGAGGGGACUCCUGGCUGAAAACAAUCUUGCAGAAAAUGGGGCUCAAGAGCCUUUUACAGUUUCCCCAAGUCCACUGCCGUCCUCCUCCAUGUCCUUACUGCGACAUGUUGGCACGUACUGUCCCCUUCACCGCGCACGGAGGCAGGACCUGGCUUUAAAGGAGGAAGUGAUUAAUGCUGAAAGUAGAAUACAAAAUGUGUGUUUCCAAUGGAGUGGGAUGGAGAGUCCCCUAAUAGGGGCACUGCCGGAAUACAGAACAAGACCAUUCUGAAGAAUUGUGCGGGUCUAGAAAGAAGAUAGAAGCAACUGCUACUCAAUUUAUAGUAUUGCGACUCAAAGCUAAGUAGUCGUAAGUAGAAUACACAGUAAAUGUAUAUUUAGCUGUAGUUAAAAGUGAAACUUAAUAUCCUAUGUUAGUACAUAGUACUCUCUUACCAAGAAAACUAAUUUAUAGGUAAAGAAACAGAGCUUAAAACUAAGAGACUGUGUGUUUUUAAAUAACCGAAGUAAAAUGCAUACUUACUUACCUUUUAUUCUCCUGCUGUGUGCGCCGUGAGCUGGUCCAGGGAGUUCUAUGAGGUAAGAAAUUCCUGUUCAACAAAAGUUCCUUUUCUAAAAAAAGUGAACAUAAUGGAAACGGGGAACCACUUACCAGGCAGCUGAAAAAGGAGCUGACUGUGCAGAGAAUUUCACACCUUAUGGCUUUUGGUCAGUAAAGUACAUAAACAAAAUGUAAUUUUCUAUGCAAUUACACAGGGUCACACAAGAAUAUUAUGUUUUAGAAACGCACUCAAAAGCAUAUUGCUCUCUAAGAGCCCAAUCCGGAAAAUGGUUCCUCACUUCAGUAAAGUUGCUCAUAAGCAUUUCUGGGAGUGAGGCCUAGGAGACAUUUUCCUUUUUAUGCUUUCUUAAACAGUUUAUGUGAUAGUAACAACAGGAAGAUAAAUUACUUUGAAUGGUAGCAAUUAGAGAAAUAAGGAGCGUGAUAGAUUUACCAUGUGGAAAACAUCUCUCACACAUUUUCUUACAGUCAUUAAACCUACUUUUAAUGACACAACACUGAUUUCAGA